CCUACGGGUGGCAGCAGUGAGGAAUAUUGGUCAAUGGGCGCGAGCCUGAACCAGCCAAGUCGCGUGAGGGAAGACGGUCCUAUGGAUUGUAAACCUCUUUUGUCGGGGAGCAAAAGACGCCACGCGUGGCGUUCCGAGAGUACCCGAAGAACAAGCAUCGGCUAACUCCGUGCCAGCAGCCGCGGUAAUACGGAGGAUGCGAGUGUUAUCCGGAUUUAUUGGGUUUAAAGGGUGCGCAGGCGGAAGAUCAAGUCAGCGGUAAAAUUGAGAGGCUCAACCUCUUCGAGCCGUUGAAACUGGUGUUCUUGAGUGAGUGAGAAGUAUGCGGAAUGCGUGGUGUAGCGGUGAAAUGCAUAGAUAUCACGCAGAACUCCGAUUGCGAAGGCAGCAUACCGGCGCUCAACUGACGCUCAUGCACGAAAGUGUGGGUAUCGAACAGGAUUAGAUACCCCUGUAGUC
rnacentral:rRNA from 1 species